rnacentral:rRNA from 1 species
CCUACGGGAGGCAGCAGUGAGGAAUAUUGGUCAAUGGACGAGAGUCUGAACCAGCCAAGUAGCGUUAAGGAUGACUGCCCUAUGGGUUGUAAACUUCUUUUAUAUGGGAAUAAAAUGUUCCACGUGUGGGAUUUUGUAUGUACCAUAUGAAUAAGGAUCGGCUAACUCCGUGCCAGCAGCCGCGGUAAUACGGAGGAUCCGAGCGUUAUCCGGAUUUAUUGGGUUUAAAGGGAGCGUAGGUGGAUUGUUAAGUCAGUUGUGAAAGUUUGCGGCUCAACCGUAAAAUUGCAGUUGAAACUGGCAGUCUUGAGUACAGUAGAGGUGGGCGGAAUUCGUGGUGUAGCGGUGAAAUGCUUAGAUAUCACGAAGAACUCCGAUUGCGAAGGCAGUUCACUGGACUGCAACUGACACUGAGGCUCGAAAGUGUGGGUAUCAAACAGGAUUAGAUACCCGAGUAGUC